UGGGGAAUAUUGCACAAUGGGCGCAAGCCUGAUGCAGCCAUGCCGCGUGUAUGAAGAAGGCCUUCGGGUUGUAAAGUACUUUCAGCGAGGAGGAAGGCAUUGUGGUUAAUAACCACAGUGAUUGACGUUACUCGCAGAAGAAGCACCGGCUAACUCCGUGCCAGCAGCCGCGGUAAUACGGAGGGUGCAAGCGUUAAUCGGAAUUACUGGGCGUAAAGCGCACGCAGGCGGUCUGUCAAGUCGGAUGUGAAAUCCCCGGGCUCAACCUGGGAACUGCAUUCGAAACUGGCAGGCUAGAGUCUUGUAGAGGGGGGUAGAAUUCCAGGUGUAGCGGUGAAAUGCGUAGAGAUCUGGAGGAAUACCGGUGGCGAAGGCGGCCCCCUGGACAAAGACUGACGCUCAGGUGCGAAAGCGUGGGGAGCAAACAGG
rnacentral:rRNA from 3 species